rnacentral:rRNA from 1 species
UACGUAGGUGGCAAGCGUUGUCCGGAUUUAUUGGGUUUAAAGGGUGCGUAGGCGGUGAUGUAAGUCCGUGGUGAAAUCCGGCAGCUUAACUGUCGAGGUGCCAUUGAUACUGCGUGACUUGAGUACAGACGAGGUAGGCGGAAUUGACGGUGUAGCGGUGAAAUGCUUAGAUAUCGGGAAGAACACCGAUAGCGAAGGCAGCUUACUAGACUGAAACUGACGCUGAGGCACGAAAGUGUGGGGAUCAAACAGG